rnacentral:rRNA from 1 species
AGUGAACGCUGGCGGUAGGCCUAACACAUGCAAGUCGAACGGCAGCACAGUAAGAGCUUGCUCUUACGGGUGGCGAGUGGCGGACGGGUGAGGAAUACAUCGGAAUCUACUUUUUCGUGGGGGAUAACGUAGGGAAACUUACGCUAAUACCGCAUACGACCUACGGGUGAAAGCAGGGGAUCUUCGGACCUUGCGCGAUUGAAUGAGCCGAUGUCGGAUUAGCUAGUUGGCGGGGUAAAGGCCCACCAAGGCGACGAUCCGUAGCUGGUCUGAGAGGAUGAUCAGCCACACUGGACCUGAGACACGGUCCAGACUCCUACGGGAGGCAGCAGUGGGGAAUAUUGGACAAUGGGUGCAAGCCUGAUCCAGCCAUACCGCGUGGGUGAAGAAGGCCUUCGGGUUGUAAAGCCCUUUUGUUGGGAAAGAAAAGCAGCAGGUUAAUACCCCGCUGUUCUGACGGUACCCAAAGAAUAAGCACCGGCUAACUUCGU